rnacentral:ncRNA from 1 species
AUACAUUUAGCCGGAACUGGUUUUACACAGCCGUAAAGUAAGAGGGGAAUCGUGUGUCAAUCACGAACUGUCGCGCAACUGUAAGUAACCACUAAGGCUCUUUCAAUACAUUCACUGUAUGCGGUGCGUAUGGGAAGGAGGAAGAGCUGUUACAAGUCAGGAAACCUGCCACUCCGGGUAGACAAUG